AUGAGGUGCUGAACUGAACUGAACUAAAACUGGAAAGAUACAGAGAAGAUUAGCAUGGCCCCUGCGCAAGGAUGACAGUCAAAACCGUGGGACACAAGCCGCAGAU
ensembl:snRNA U6 U6 spliceosomal RNA